CCGGCCUCAGAAACAGGAGAUGAAAGAUGACCAGGAUCAUUAUACCAACACUUACCACAUCUUCACCAAAGCUCCUGACAAAUUAGAGGAAGUCCUGUCAUACUCCAAUGUAAUCAGCUGGGAGCAAACUUUGCAGAUCCAAGGUAACUAGUCUGAGUUAAAAGAAAAAGAUCCAUGGUUUAUUCCUAGCCGAUAUGGAAGGCAUAAAGUGGUACUUGUCUUUCUCCUUUCUCCAGGUUGCCAA
rnacentral:lncRNA from 1 species